CCCUCCCUCCCAGACCCUCCCACCUCCUGGACAGCAUUUUACAUUCAUUGUGAAGCUGUCCAGGAGGUGGGAGGGUCUGGGAGGGAGGG